AAAAAGCCUGCCAUGACUGAUCUAAUCAUGAUCCCUAUUUAAUGACCCCAAAAUCACUAAUAACUGUCACUCUAUUCUCAAACCUCAGAUCAUCUACUUUAUUCUCCAAAAAUCCCCAAAAUUUCCAGAAAAUUCUCCGCCAUGGCUAAUCCCCAAGAUAAUCCUGGAACUCCACCACCAGUUUCCCUCAACACCUCAUCUCCCACACCUCCUAGUGAUCCCCCAAAACCUAGAUUCUAUCGCCAGAAAAUGUUAGCCAGAAAAAUAGUUGCAUCUGGUGCUUUGAGGAGGGUUUUGAAUGAAAGACUAUAUGCUAGUCAGAAAAAGGAAGUCCCAGCCGAACAGACUUGCUCAAGUUCUGAGUCCAA
rnacentral:lncRNA from 1 species